GAACGCUGGCGGCGUGCUUAACACAUGCAAGUCGAACGCGAAAGGGACUUCGGUCCUGAGUAAAGUGGCGCACGGGUGAGUAACGCGUAGAUAACCUGUCUUCAUGUCUGGAAUAAUACGCCAAAGGGGUACUAAUACCGGAUAUUCUUGCUUUUCAUAAGUUAUGCAAGCAAAGGUGGCCUCUGCAUAUGCUACUGCAUGAAGAGGGGUCUGCGUACCAUUAGCUAGUAGGUGGGGUAAUGGGCCUACCUAGGCGACGAUGGUUAGCGGGUCUGAGAGGAUGAUCCGCCACACUGGCACUGGAACACGGGCCAGACUCCUACGGGAGGCAGCAGUGAGGAAUAUUGCGCAAUGGGGGAAACCCUGACGCAGCGACGCCGCGUGAGUGAGGAAGGCCUUCGGGUCGUAAAGCUCUGUCAAGAGGAAAGAAGUGUACAAUGGCUAAUACCUGUUGUAUUUGACGGUACCUCUAAAGGAAGCACCGGCUAACUCCGUGCCAGCCGCAGC
rnacentral:rRNA from 1 species